CCUACGGGCGGCAGCAGUGAGGAAUAUUGGUCAAUGGACGAGAGUCUGAACCAGCCAAGUAGCGUGAAGGAUGACUGCCCUAUGGGUUGUAAACUUCUUUUAUAUGGGAAUAAAACAGGGGAUGCAUACCCUCUUGUAUGUACCAUAUGAAUAAGGAUCGGCUAACUCCGUGCCAGCAGCCGCGGUAAUACGGAGGAUCCGAGCGUUAUCCGGAGUUAUUGGGUUUAAAGGGAGCGUCGGUGGAUUGUUAAGUCAGUUGUGAAAGUUGGCGGCGCAACCGUAAAAUUGCAGUUGAAACGGGCAGUCUUGAGUACAGUCGCGGUCGGCGGACUUCGUGGUGUAGCGGUGAAAUGCUGAGAUAUCACGCAGAACUCCG
rnacentral:rRNA from 1 species